CCCGCGGGCCGCAGACACACACAAAGGAGGAAGGGGAGCGACUGAACGCUCCCUAGUUACACUCGUUUUCUCUCAUUUCUGGAUAUUAGUGAUGAGUGACAGCUCGUGGGAAAUUCAUAGACACACCCAGAGAUAGAAUAGUGUUUCGACCAACGCCGAGAAUUUCCCGCUGGUAAUAAUUAGCGGCUUUAAGUAGUAACGACUCCGGCCCGGCACCACCCCACCCACACACACAGGACUUGCCAGAUGUACAAGUGCUGGGGAAAUGCGUUGGUGGUACAUCAGGGAAGACUAAUAAGUAGUGGUGGGUCGUGGGUGGCAGGUGGAACAGGAGAGCGUGCCUGGUGGCGGCGGAAACAUUGCCGUCAUUACUCAGUCCUCCACGAUGGCAGGCCUUGAAUGCGAUCAUUUAGGUGAAGGUCAUCUUAACAUCGCAAGCCAGGCAGGAUCGUUCGUGGCACCCUCACAUCCAUCACCAGACUCACUUAGGGAGCCUCACCGUCCCCAGCACCCUCGACCCCUUGCCUCCUCUGCCUUCCCUGCCUCCCAUGUCAGCCAUGCCAGGCGGCGUCCAAUCACUACCACUCGUCAUCGGCGCGAAUCAAAACAUUCCAAACGAAAACUUCCCCAUCCAUCAAGAGGACUGUCACCAUCACCAUCUUUUAAUCCACGCCUCACUCGCUCCUCCUGCUCCUCCUCCUUCUCCUCCUCCUCCUCCUCCUCCUCCUCCUCCUCCUCCUCCUCCUCCUCCUCCUCCUCCUCCUCCUCCAGACGAAGAUGUACGUGUCUCUUUAUUGCUUCGUGGAAAAAAUUAAUGUUUUCUGUUUAGUAUUUUUGUGUUAAUAUUUGUGGAAUUAGAAAAAAAUUAA